GGGGAUGUAGCUCAGUUGGGAGAGCGGCGGCUUUGCAAGCCGUAGGUCGAGGGUUCGAAUCCCUUCAUCUCCA
rnacentral:tRNA from 1 species